rnacentral:rRNA from 1 species
CAAUAGCGUAUAUUAAAGUUGUUGCAGUUAAAAAGCUCGUAGUUGGAUUUCUGGCAGGAGGAGCCGGUCACACACUCUGUGCGUGAACUCGUGCUGUCUCUGGCCAUCCUCGGGGAGAUCCUGUUUGGCAUUAAGUUGUCGGGCAGGGGAUACCCGUCGUUUACUGUGAAAAAUUAGAGUGUUUAAAGCAGGCUUAUGCCGUUGAAUAUAUUAGCAUGGAAUAAUAAGAUAGGACCUUAGUACUAUUUUGUUGGUUUGCGCACUGAGGUAAUGAUUAAGAGGGACAGUUGGGGGUAGUUUGUAUUCCAUUGUCAGAGGUGAAAUUCUUGGAUUUUUGGUAAGACAAACUAACUGCGAAAGACAUUUACCUAAGGAAUGUUUUCUAUUAAUCAAGAAACGAAAAGUUAAGGGGAGUCGAAGAUGAUCAGAUACCGU